UGAAUGAUGGCAGAGUUGGUAGAGCAGUUGACUUUUAAUCAAUUGGUCGCAGGUUCGAAUCCUGCACGACCCACCA
rnacentral:tRNA from 1 species